rnacentral:lncRNA from 1 species
AACAUAAUCUAAAAAUUCAGAUAAUUUUAUACCAAAAUGGAGUAAAACAGCAUUUUAGUCUUUGAAAUUGUAAGAGCCGGACAAUUUAGUCUCUCAAAUUUGCGAAAUAGCUGAAAUGCUGAUUUUGAACUUACAACACUUUGCUUUUGCAACUCUAUCUUUCAGGGUGUUUUUCUUGAUAGCUGAGAUGUGCUUAUUGGCGGGAUCAGUUGAAAAUGCUUAUCACACAAAGUACAGGACCAUCAUUUACAAUGAUCCUCCUUCUUGUGAGACAGUAAGGAAAGGAGUUUUUGCUGCUGGUGCCGCCUUCAUUUUCUUCACCUCCAUCAUUUCGAAGUUCUAUUACAUCAACUACUCGAGUGCGAGGGAAAGUUUCCAACCAUAUCUUGGAGGUGGUGAGACUGGCGUUGGGAUGGGAACCUACAAAUGAGCUUGUUAGUCUCAUUCUUGUCUAAAAUGUGGCUAUAUCUGAAACUCGAUUCCGUAACAUUUAUGUCGCAUUUAUUAUAUUUUACGGUUUUAGAGGCUAUACUAGAAUGUAUAAGUUGUAUGUUAGUGAUUUUUGUUAUUGUUGUUGUUACCUAUUGUCUUUUUAAUCGACGAUGAUUGGAUUCAUUACCUCGUACAUUUUUGGGGUGUUCUUUGUCAUAUAUAUAAAUCAAUUUAUAAGAGAGAUUGUUUUGUUGCAUUGUUGGACA